rnacentral:rRNA from 1 species
CCUACGGGAGGCAGCAGUGAGGAAUAUUGGUCAAUGGGCGCGAGCCUGAACCAGCCAAGUAGCGUGAAGGAUGACUGCCCUACGGGUUGUAAACUUCUUUUAUAAAGGAAUAAUGUGAGGCACGUGUGCCUUUUUGUAUGUACUUUAUGAAUAAGGAUCGGCUAACUCCGUGCCAGCAGCCGCGGUAAUACGGAGGAUCCGAGCGUUAUCCGGAUUUAUUGGGUUUAAAGGGAGCGUAGAUGGGUUGUUAAGUCAGUGGGAAAAGUUUGCGGCUCAACCGUAAAAUUGCGAUUGAUACUGGCAGCCUGAGGGAGAGUUGAGGUAGGGGGAAGUGGGGGUGUAGCGGUGAAAUGC